rnacentral:lncRNA from 10 species
CUACCUCCGCGCUGAGGCCGCUGAGUUUCAAGUGCAAAACACCAGGCCAAAUCCGGCAAGGCGGCGGCUACAGAAUGGCUCACACUUCAAGCCUCCUUCCUCAAACAAUCCGAUGGGAAGGACCUGGCUGUUCAGGGGAAGCCUUUGCUGGCCUCUCUUUUUACAUGGGGUGAAGUCGAACCCCAAUCUAGGAGCCCUGGCCUAGAUGGCUCCGCAGAUGAGUCCCAGACGUGGCCAUGGAAAGACUGAUCUCUCUCUGCUCAGAGCGCCUGCCUCGGUGCUCACUAGCGCAAGCACCUCCCAACACACAUACAUACAUACACACACACACACAACACAGCACUCCCAUCACAUUAAAACGCGCGCUCAUGAUCCUGCCGUUAAUGAAGCCGAGGCGCAUAAUGAGUGCACAGGUAAAUAGGUACCGAAACCAGAAGACUUCACCAGUCGGCUGGGCGAUUUACCUCUCCCUACAGGGAGCACUUGUAGUUAUCGUGUUUUAGGAGUGAUUUGCUGUUGUCUGUGGUCUCUCGCUCCUCUUCUUGUGGAGAGAAGCCAAAAAAUAUAUAUGUUCCGUGGUCAGAGUCUUCUUUCUGAUAAGCUACCCGAGCAUUGGUCUAAAACAUCUGUUUUAUCUGUUGAUUUUGGUUUGUUGUUUUGGGGAGUGUUGCUUUUCUGAGGGAAGCAAAAGAACGUGUGUGUGGUGGGGCUGGAAGCUCAGGGCAAGAGUCUGCGUGUGCGGCCGGAAGGCUGGCGAGUCUGAGAGCCGCGCGGUGCAGAAAGAAGGCGGCGGCUUGUCCUCCCCCGGGGCCGGCACUGGUCCCUUGGCACCCCGGCCUGGGCUCGGCUACUGCCGCCGCCGCCCGCGCUCUCGGGCUCCGCCGGCUGCCGCUCCGUGUUUUCCCCCAUCCCGGCUUCACGUUCAAGGUUUAGCUGCGAGGUCACGUCCAUUGACGUCAGCUCCCUGUCUCCCUCUACGUCCGGCUACAUUUACAUACAUCAAGGAAAUUAGGGCAUUAAAAAAAUAUGCAAAUCCUGCGCGAAGAGGAGCGGGUGCAUUCCUGGCGCGAUCGCCUUUUAUUGAAGCUUUUAAUUAAAGGGGCCAGUUGGCGAGCCCCUGAAACAACCGCCAAAACCCCCCAAAAGAGAAAAAUAAACGCUGUAGCCUUCGAGAACGGUUGUUUCGGCUCCUGUUCUGUGGGCGGCUGAGGACCGCCGGCUGCCCGGCUCGGAGAAGAACAGGUUAGAGGAGGCAGCUCCAGCCCAUGCAUAAUCAGGGCUCCGCGGCGCCUCCAUUCUUUCCUCCUCCUCCUCCUCCUCCUCCUCCUCCUCCUCCUCCUCCUCCUCCUCCUCCUCCUCCUCCUCCUCUUCCACCUCUCCUCCUCCUCCUCCUUCUCCUCCACCUCCUCCUCCUCUUCUUGCUCUCGCUCCUGUUGGUUCCAGCGUGUAUUAUUUUUAAUACUGAUGCAUAUGUAAAGGUAUAUUUGCAUUU